rnacentral:rRNA from 1 species
AGUGAACGCUGGCGGUAGGCCUAAUACAUGCAAGUCGAACGGCAGCACAGUAAGAGCUCGCCCUUACGGGUGGCGAGUGGCGGACGGGUGAGGAAUACAUCGGAAUCUACUUUUUCGUGGGGGAUAACGUAGGGAAAGUUACGCUAAUACAGCAUACGACCUACGGGUGAAAGCAGGAGAGAUUCGGACCUUGCGCGAUUGAAUGAGCCGAAGUCGGAUUAGCUAGUUGGCGGGGUAAAGGCCCACCAAGGCAACGAUACGUAGCCGGCCUGAGAGGAUGAUCGGCCACACUGGAACUGAGACACGGUCCAGACUCCUACGGGAGGCAGCAGUGGGGAAUAUUGGACAAUGGGCGCAAGCCUGAUCCAGCCAUACCGCGUGGGUGAUGAAGGCCUUCGGGUUGUAAAGCCCUUUUGUUGGGAAAGAAAAGCAGCAGGUUAAUCCCCCGCUGUUCUGACGGUACCCAAAGAAUAAGCACCGGCUAACUUCGUG